UGUUAGAAAGAAAGAUGGAUAGAUUAGUUAGAAAGAAAGAAAUAUUAAUAGAUAGAUAGAUAGAUAGAUAGAUAGAUAGAUAGAUAGAUAGAUAGAUAGAUAGA